rnacentral:rRNA from 1 species
AUGCAGGAGGUAAUAUCAGGACCUGGUCUAAAGCACGUGGAAAAUGAUGAGUACAGUGAAUCUGGUCGUGGAGUUUAUCCCGAUGGGCUGUUUCGCAUCCUACUUAAGUUCAAUGAGCGAUACAAGAGCUUAAACAUACCUUUUAUCAUUACUGAAAAUGGAGUUUCUGAUGAGACUGAUCUGAUUCGGAAACCAUAUAUACUGGAGCACCUGUUAGCCAUAUACGCGGCCAUUUUAAUGGGUGUGCGUGUGCUUGGCUAUCUAUUCUGGACAACGUCGGAUAAUUGGGAGUGGGCUGAUGGCUAUGGUCCCAAGUUUGGGCUUGUUUCUGUUGACCGUGCUAAUAACCUAGCACGGAAACCUCGCCCUUCGUACUAUUUGUUCACCAAGGUUGUCACAACUGGAAAAAUUACGAGACAGGACAGAACAUCCGCUUGGAGGGAACUGCAAGAAGCUGCGAUUCAGAAGAAAACACGCCCAUUUUACAGGGAAGUAGAUAAACAUGGUCGUAUGUAUGCAGGGGGUCUAGAUCGGCCUAUUGAGCGAGCUUUUGUAUUGCGGGACUGGCGAUUUGGCCACUAUGAAAUAGAAGGCUUGCAGGAUCCUUUGAGUCGCUUUGUAAGAUGCGUUAUGCGACCAUUUCCACGCAAGAAGAUUCACUACAUUGAGGACGAUGCAAUUUCUUACUCUAUUUCUUCUUGA